GAUGAACGCUAGCGGCAGGCUUAACACAUGCAAGUCGAGGGGUAUAGUUCUUCGGAACUAGAGACCGGCGCAUGGGUGCGUAACGCGUAUGUAAUCUACCUUUUACAGGGGGAUAGCCCAGAGAAAUUUGGAUUAAUACCCCAUAGUAUGUUGUGGUGGCAUCACUAUAACAUUAAAGUUCCAACGGUAAAAGACGAGCAUGCGUCCCAUUAGCUAGAUGGUAAGGUAGCGGCUUACCAUGGCUACGAUGGGUAGGGGUCCUGAGAGGGAGAUCCCCCCCACCGGUACUGAGACACGGACCAGACUCGUACGGAAGGCAGCAGUGAGCAAGAUUGGACAAUGGGCGCAAGCCUGAUCCAGCCAUGCCGCGUGCAGGAUGACGGUCCUAUGGAUUGUAAACUGCUUUUGUACAGGAAGAAACACUCCCUCGUGAGGGGGCUUGACGGUACUGUAAGAAUAAGGAUCGGCUAACUCCGUGCCAGCCGCCGCCGUAA
rnacentral:rRNA from 1 species